AUGUUUAUUGUAGCCCAACUCUAUCUUUUAACAAAAAAAAAAAAGCAUGGUGGAACGCAGCCGUUUGAUCAGCUAGGGUUAUUGCUGUUGUUCAACUUUACGAGAGAAACACUUCUCCUCUACCCUCUCAAACCCCAUCGGCGUCACUGCAUCCAUUCUUCCGAUCCGUCACCAUAUUGCGCCGCUACUACCUCCCUCACAUUCGUGGGAAACCUGAUUUACGGCCACCAACCACUUCGUCCCUUCCUUCUAUUGCCAAAUAUCCCCUACGCUUUUCAAGAUUUCUCCUCAAAUCUUAAUGAAUAG